rnacentral:rRNA from 1 species
AGGGCUGCAGUAUAUUGACUGUACAAAGGUAGCAUAAUCAUUAGUCAUUUAAUUGAUGACUUGUAUGAAGGAUUUGAUGAGAUAUAAACUGUCUCUUAUUUAAUUAUAAAAUUUAAUUUUUUUAUUAAAAAGUUAAAAUAUCUUAAAAAGACGAGAAGACCCUAUAGAGUUUAAUAAAUUAUUAGAUUGAGAUUAUAUGUAAAACAAAUUUAAAAUAAAAUUAUUUAUUUUGUUGGGGUGACAAAAAAAUACAUUAAACUUUUUUUUAUUUUAAAACAUUUAUAAGUGAUUAAAUGAUCCAAUAAUAUUGAUUAUGAGAAAAAAUUACCUUAGGGAUAACAGCGUAAUUUUUUUUUUUAGUUCAAAUAAGAAAAAAGAGUUUGCGACCUCGAUGUUGGAUUAAGAUAAAAUUUAAA